rnacentral:rRNA from 1 species
CCUACGGGUGGCAGUAGUGAGGAAUAUUGGUCAAUGGCCGGGAGGCUGAACCAGCCAAGUCGCGUGAGGGAAGACGGCCCUACGGGUUGUAAACCUCUUUUGUCAGGGAGCAAGGUGCAGGUCGGGACCUGCUGUGAGAGUACCUGAAGAAAAAGCAUCGGCUAACUCCGUGCCAGCAGCCGCGGUAAUACGGAGGAUGCGAGCGUUAUCCGGAUUUAUUGGGUUUAAAGGGAGCGUAGGCCGGUCUUUAAGCGUGCCGUGAAAUUUUGUGGCUCAACCAUGAGAGUGCGGCGCGAACUGGAGACCUUGAGUGCGCGGAAGGCAGGCGGAAUUCGUGGUGUAGCGGUGAAAUGCUUAGAUAUCACGAAGAACCCCGAUUGCGAAGGCAGCCUGCCGCAGCGUUACUGACGCUGAAGCUCGAAAGCGCGGGUAUCGAACAGGAUUAGAUACCCGAGUAGUC